GCCUGUAGUUCCAGCUACUUGGGAGGCUGAGGCAGGAGGAUCACUUGAGCCUAGGAGUUCUCUAGCAGGAUCAGGUGUCUGCACAAAGUUUGGCAUCAAUAUGGUGACCUCCCCGGAGCAGGAGACCACGAGGUUGCCCAAGGAGGGAUGAGCUGGCCCAGGUCGGAAACAGAGCAGGUCAAAACUCUUGCGCUGAUCAGAAAGUUAAAGUAUCUUUGUUAAUCUCAGUUUCCUCAUGUGGAAAAUAAAACCUACUUCU
rnacentral:SRP_RNA from 1 species